AGAGUUUGAUCCUGGCUCAGGAUGAACGCUGGCGGCGUGCCUAAUACAUGCAAGUCGAGCGAACCACUUCGGUGGUGAGCGGCGAACGGGUGAGUAACACGUAGGUCAUCUGCCCAUCAGACGGGGACAACGAUUGGAAACGAUCGCUAAUAGCGGAUAGGACGAAAGUUUAAAGGUGCUCUUGGCACCGCUGAUGGAUGAGCGUGCGGCGCAUUAGCUAGUUGGUAGGGUAAAGGCCUACCAAGGCGACGAUGCGUAGCCGACCUGAGAGGGUGAACGGCCACACUGGGACUGAGACACGGCCCAGACUCCUACGGGAGGCAGCAGUAGGGAAUCUUCGGCAAUGGGCGAAGGCCUGACCGAGCAACGCCGCGUGAAUGAUGAAGGCCUUCGGGUUGUAAAAUUCUGUUAUAAGGGAAGAACGACUUUAGUAGGAAAUGGCUAAAGUGUGACGGUACCUUAUGAGAAAGCCACGGCUAACUACGUGCCAGCAGCCGCGGUAAUACGUAGGUGGCAAGCGUUAUCCGGAAUUAUUGGGCGUAAAGAGCGCGCAGGUGGUUGAUUAAGUCUGAUGUGAAAGCCCACGGCUUAACCGUGGAGGGUCAUUGGAAACUGGUCGACUUGAGUGCAGAAGAGGGAAGUGGAAUUCCAUGUGUAGCGGUGAAAUGCGUAGAGAUAUGGAGGAACACCAGUGGCGAAG
rnacentral:rRNA from 1 species